AUAGCAACUGGGCCCAAGAUCGCCAGAAUUGGGCGGGCUAUUAGAAUUACCCGAAUCCGAAUUGAGAGUCCAGUUUUAGGUCCAGGCUACCAGCUAGCUCUUUGCUUAAUUUGACUUUCACUUCGCUGUCAUUCUUUGGUUAAAACUUGGAUCUUCUGAUUCUAUUUUUCAAUUAAGGAUUUGGAAGAAUCACUUCUGCUGUUGCCAGAGAAACGUCUUCUAGCUUUCAAUUAUCAAUGAGCAUGACUAUCCUGGAAACAGAGUGAUCGGCUUCCACAGCGUUUUGCUAAUGAAGCUGCUGCCAGGUUUGAUAAUGGAGGAGCCUAUCCACCUGAUCCGAGUUUUAUCACUAACGUAAUCUUUACAAACAACAGCAACAACAGAGCCAGUGAAUUCCCACAAGUGGGGUCGGGGGAGGGUGAGAUGUACGCAGCCUUACCCCUACCCUGGAAGGCAGAGAGCCUGUUUUCGGAAGGUGAUCUUUACAAAGUUUGGCGAAAAUUUAAUCCGUGUUGCCUGAUUUUCUUUACCUUUUCAGGCCCGACACAAUGGACCACACAAGGAGCCAGAGUGAUCGCUCUUCAUGUGAUAGUAUGUGCUCAAGAACCUGACCCUGGUGCGUUCAGAAACUGCUUUAAACCGAAGCUUGGCUCGUUUGAAUCCUCCAUUACCUUUGGAUUCGUAGGGGACUCGCAAAGUGAUCUGGCCGGCAAAUGCCUCUAUAAGCAUAGACCCUUGGCAGGAAUUGCUGGCAUCUCCUACCGAGAACAUGAGAUCAUAGACCUUCCCUUUUGUAGUUAUCACUUGUUGUGCUAUUGCACUUUCUCUACCGGCCACAAGUUCGAUGGCGCGCUUGCCCUCCGGCACGGUGAAGUGUGCAGCAUCAAUGUAUUUUACUGCCUUGAGAGAUUCAAUCAUCCAUCCAGGCAAUGGUGAGUGAUCAUCUUCA